rnacentral:rRNA from 1 species
UACGUAGGGGGCGAGCGUUUGUCCGGAUUUAUUGGGCGUAAAAGGCUUGUAGGUGGCCACGCGAAGUCGGAUGUGAAAUCUCCCGGCUCAACUGGGAGGGGUCAUUCGAUACGGGCAGGCUAGAGUUCGGCAGGGGAGACUGGAAUUCCUGGUGUAGCGGUGAAAUGCGCAGAUAUCAGGAGGAACACCGGUGGCGAAGGCGGGUCUCUGGGCCGAUACUGACGCUGGAGGAGCGAAAAGCGUGGGGGAGC